rnacentral:rRNA from 1 species
CCUACGGGGGGCAGCAGUGAGGAAUAUUGGUCAAUGGGCGAGAGCCUGAACCAGCCAAGUAGCGUGAAGGAUGACUGCCCUAUGGGUUGUAAACUUCUUUUAUAAAGGAAUAAAGUCGGGUAUGGAUACCCGUUUGCAUGUACUUUAUGAAUAAGGAUCGGCUAACUCCGUGCCAGCAGCCGCGGUAAUACGGAGGAUCCGAGCGUUAUCCGGAUUUAUUGGGUUUAAAGGGUGCGUAGGCGGCCUUUUAAGUCAGCGGUGAAAGUCUGUGGCUCAACCAUAGAAUUGCCGUUGAAACUGGGGGGCUUGAGUAUGUUUGAGGCAGGCGGAAUGCGUGGUGUAGCGGUGAAAUGCUUAGAUAUCACGAAGAACUCCGAUUGCGAAGGCAGCCUGCUAAGCUGCAACUGACAUUGAGGCUCGAAAG